rnacentral:misc_RNA from 1 species
GUCCAAUUUCGCAUUCACUUAAUUAGUUCAGAUAAUUUACUGUAACAUACUAUAGGAGGAGGAAGAAGAAUAAGUAGCUAGGGAUGUUGGAUAAGGAUGGAUUUUGGAGGGAAAUACUGUUGAAAGCAGCGGUUAGCAUAUCUGAUUGUUAGAGAGUAGUUAUCAUAACUGCAUUAGCCAAUUCCUGAGUAACUACUCCAGAUCUG